UACGUAGGGUGCGAGCGUUGUCCGGCAUUAUUGGGCGUAAAGAGCUUGUAGGCGGUCUGUCGCGUCUGCUGUGAAAAUCCGGGGCUCAACCCCGGACUUGCAGUGGGUACGGGCAGACUAGAGUGUGGUAGGGGAGACUGGAAUUCCUGGUGUAGCGGUGAAAUGCGCAGAUAUCAGGAGGAACACCGAUGGCGAAGGCAGGUCUCUGGGCCACUACUGACGCUGAGAAGCGAAAGCAUGGGGAGCGAACAGG
rnacentral:rRNA from 1 species